rnacentral:lncRNA from 1 species
CUCCCACAUAGCUGGCUCUGCAUGAAUUACUCUUUCUCUAUUGCAAUUCCCCUGUCUUGAGAAAUCGGCUGUGUCUAGGCCGCGGACAAAGUGAACCCAUUGGGAGGUUACAAUAGAAUGAAGAAGGACCUCCUCCAUCUCUACCCCUACCUCACCCCUGUCCUGGGGAUUUCUAGGCAGAGCUGUCAGUGACCUGUGGAGUAGGGAGAUACACAGGCCUGCAACAGCAGAGAGACCUCACUGGCCCACAUGGCUGCCUGCCUUGAGUAAGGAACAGUCUUUAAGACUGGGAACAAUAAAUCUUCAAAAUACACUCUCCAGGAAAAGUUAAAUGGCAAGAAUUAUUGGGAAGAAAAUCAAUUUCAGACAGGCAGGCCUCAUGAAGUUUGCAAUAUCAUGAACUGGCUACAGAGGAAGAAGUGAAGAUGUGAGUCAGCCUGGAGUUCAUCCCACUUCAACUUCAAUUAUCUUUGGGACGUGGACAACAGCCUCGGCAGCUAAAAGAAGAAAGUGCAGGGGUGGAAUAAGAAACUUGAUCAGAGCAGUUAAAAUCCAUGAUCCUUCUGGGGUGAAUGGCAGAGGAAACUGACCAGAGGCAGACAAAGGUCUUGUUGAGUAGUUUAAAUGGCCCAUCUGAAGCCAAAGACCAUUAAAAUGAUCCUGGUACCAAGAA